rnacentral:snRNA from 1 species
GAGUAUAAGAGAAAGCUGGCUGUGACAUCUGUCACCCCACUGAAUUCCAGGGUUUAUCCAGCUGAUCUGCCUGGUUAGGUAAGUGUCCCCUUUCUCCCUCAAUGCUCCAUGUGUGACCCUCCCAAAACUGUGUGCUCCGUCCAAGAAGGCGACCUUCCCCAAUAGAAGAGGACUGGUCUUCAGUCAAGGGUAUAGCUGCGCUUCCCUGCCAGAAACUCCAAACAAGCUUGAAAGAGUUGUCUAAGUUCAAAGAAAAGGUUGUUAUGGUCUGUGGUAGACAGAGAUGGAGCCUUAAGAGAUAUAACCCUUGAGCUUAAAAGCGAAAGCUUUAAG